AGAGUUUGAUCCUGGCUCAGGAUGAACGCUGGCGGCGUGCUUAACACAUGCAAGUCGAACGAAGCACUUUAUUUGAUUUCUUCGGAAUGAAGAUUUUGUGACUGAGUGGCGGACGGGUGAGUAACGCGUGGGUAACCUGCCUCAUACAGGGGGAUAACAGUUAGAAAUGACUGCUAAUACCGCAUAAGCGCACAGUACCGCAUGGUACGGUGUGAAAAACUCCGGUGGUAUGAGAUGGACCCGCGUCUGAUUAGCUAGUUGGUGAGGUAACGGCCCACCAAGGCGACGAUCAGUAGCCGGACUGAGAGGUUGAACGGCCACAUUGGGACUGAGAUACGGCCCAGACUCCUACGGGAGGCAGCAGUGGGGAAUAUUGGGCAAUGGGCGCAAGCCUGACCCAGCAACGCCGCGUGAAGGAAGAAGGCUUUCGGGUUGUAAACUUCUUUUGUCAGGGACGAGUAGAAGACGGUACCUGACGAAUAAGCCACGGCUAACUACGUGCCAGCAGCCGCGGUAAUACGUAGGUGGCAAGCGUUGUCCGGAUUUACUGGGUGUAAAGGGCGUGUAGCCGGGAGGGCAAGUCAGAUGUGAAAUCCACGGGCUCAACUCGUGAACUGCAUUUGAAACUACUCUUCUUGAGUAUCGGAGAGGCAAUCGGAAUUCCUAGUGUAGCGGUGAAAUGCGUAGAUAUUAGGAGGAACACCAGUGGCGAAGGCGGCCUGCUGGACGACAACUGACGCUGAGGCGCGAAAGCGUGGGGAGCAAACAGGAUUAGAUACCCUGGUAGUCCACGCUGUAAACGAUGAAUACUAGGUGUGCGGGGACUGACCCCCUGCGUGCCGCAGUUAACACAAUAAGUAUUCCACCUGGGGAGUACGAUCGCAAGGUUGAAACUCAAAGGAAUUGACGGGGGCCCGCACAAGCGGUGGAUUAUGUGGUUUAAUUCGAAGCAACGCGAAGAACCUUACCAGGGCUUGACAUCCUACUAACGAGAUAGAGAUAUGUUAGGUGCCCUUCGGGGAAAGUA
rnacentral:rRNA from 1 species